rnacentral:lncRNA from 1 species
CAACCUUUAUUUUAGCUUUUACUUUAUAGGAAUUUUAUUUUAUUUUCUUUUUUAUUGAUUGAUUAUUGUGACACCUAAACCACAAACAUGUUUAAUCGAUUAGUACUUUACAUAACUUUGAAUAGUCACGACAUUGAGACCCUAAGGAAAUUCGACUCUAGUUAAUGCGCUAACUAAGAUUAUUUUUGGGAACGUAUAAAAAAUGUUCAUUGCCCAUACAAAAUUACAAGCACCAUGGUCUAAGCACAAAAAAGCCAUAAACAGAUAUCAAUAAGCAUUUGCAUGUAUCCAACCCUAUGCUUUUAGAGGAAAAUCAUAGCAACUGCAUCUCAAAUAACCCAACAACUACCAUGGCUAGGUCAGACAAAGAGGCAGAAGGAUUGAAGCACAUCUUCAUGAGUAAAAGGUCUUCAAUCUUUAAUCUCCUACCAAUAAUUUACCAAGUACUCCAAACCUUCUCUUUAUCUUCCUAUAGUUUGGAGAGGAGAAUGAGAGAGGCAAAACGAGCUAAGACUUGACAAGGGUUUCUAAGGCUCUCUUCCUCUUAAAAUAAAAGGGGAAUACACAGAUUUCAACUCAGGCAUGACCAGGACAAAUCAUGUACCCAGGCACGGCUGUGAAAUCAUGCUAAAUGCCAUGGUUUGGUGGCCAUGCUUGCCCCUUGCUCUUGGUUUUCAAAAUAAGAACUUCUG